UACGUAGGUGGCAAGCGUUGUUCGGAAUUAUUGGGCGUAAAGGGCGCGUAGGCGGCCUGUUAAGUCGAACGUGAAAUCCCCGGGCUCAACCCGGGAACUGCGUCCGAUACUGGCAGGCUUGAAUUCGGGAGAGGGAUGCGGAAUUCCAGGUGUAGCGGUGAAAUGCGUAGAUAUCUGGAGGAACACCGGUGGCGAAGGCGGCAUCCUGGACCGAGAUUGACGCUGAUGCGCGAAAGCCAGGGGAGCAAACGGG
rnacentral:rRNA from 1 species